AAAAAACAUGAUGUAUAAAAGAAAAACAUUGAUAAAUGAGAUUCCAUCAAAAUUUAGAACUUUAAAUGACAUCAUUAAAAUGAAAAGUAGUCCUUAAACACACCAUAUUUACAAUGCAGAUAACCUAUGAGCAGAAUAUAUAAAGAAUUCUUAGAGCUUAUUAAUAGACAACCCAAUUAAAAUGUAGACAUAAGAAGAUGAUAAAUAGCCAGUAUAGCACAAGGAAUGGUGUGCAACUCUAGAAUUAGAAAAAUACUAAUCAGUACAAUAAUAAGAUUGAUUUAUACACUCAUCAGGGAGAUGAAGUCAAAAGUUUUAAAAGCCUUGUCAUGACUUUUUCUUUUUGUUGGAUUCUCCCCCUUUGCGUUUAAUUUGUCACGCCCAGUGGAUUCAUUCUGCUGGGUUUCCUGGGGUUGUGAUCCUCAUUGUCUUUUCCUAGGGUAUUGUCUAAAAUUUUUUGGAGUGCCGGUUUGGUAUUCAUGAAGUUCCUGAGGUGCUCUUUAUCAUCAAAGUAUCUUGUUUCUCCAUCAAUUUUGAAAGAUAGUUUUGCAGGGUACAUCAAUCUGGGUUGGAGGCUGUUGUCCUUUAGGGCUUAAAAUACAUCACUCCAAGCUCUUCAUCGUGAAAAUAUCUUAUUUCUCCAUCAAUUUUGAAAGAUAGUUUUGCAGGGUACAUCAAUCUGGGUUGGAGGCUGUUUUCCUUUAGGGCUUAAAAUACAUCACUCCAAGCUCUUCUUGCCUUGAGGGUUUGCAUUGAGAAGUCUGCAGCGAUUCUGAUGGGCUUUCCUUUGUAUGUGAUUUGUUUCUUUUCUCUCACUGCUUGUAGAAUUUUGUUCUUCUGUUGGAUUUCUGGAAUCCUAACUAUUAUAUGCCUAUGUGUAGAUUUUUUUUGAUUAAGGCUAGCUGGAGGCCUAUAUGCCUCCCUUAUGUGUAUGUCAAGUUCUUUUCCCCUCCUUGGGAAGUUUUCUGCCAUCACCUCUGUGAACAGUUUUUUAAUGUCAUCUGCACUCUCUCCUGUUUCUUCAUUGACUCCAAUCAGUCUUAGGUUAUUCUUCUUUGCAUCAUCUAGCAGCUGCUGGAUUGAUUUCUUGUGUUCCCUUACAAUUUUAAAGCAAAUUUUCUUUUCCUCCUCACUAAUUGCAAUCUUAUCUUCUAUAUCUGAAAUUCUAUCCUCACAUUGGUUCAUUCUGCUGUGCAGACUUUCGAUGGAGUUUUUAAUCUCUUGGAAAUCUGUUUGUAUCUGUUUUAUGGAUUCCAUUUGUUUCCUAUGUUGGGAUUCCAUCAUGUUCCUCAGAUCCUCUAUUUUUUUUAUCUGUGUCCUUUCUAGAUUUAUUAAUCAUGUCUUGCACCAUGAGCAAAAUCUUUGCUGUUAUCUGAGUAAUUAUUUCUGAUUUCAUUUUUCCCAGAUCCUCUUUUGUUGCCAGUUCAGAGAGUCCAGGUGGUUGAGUAUCAGAUUGUUCCAUCUUGUUUCCCUUUGGGGUUGCUGUAGGUGAUCUGGAACUCUGUUUUUGAGGCUUGUUUAUGUGUCUUCUCAUUUCCACGGGGUGGGGGGGGGUUGUGCUUCUGGCGUGCACUCGGUUCAUCCUCUCUGCCCUAGGAGCCUGGGAUGGAGGUGGGGAGCUUCCUUCAGGGUGCAGGGACUGGCUGAGCUUCACCUCCCUAGUUAUUCUUUAUAUUAUUAUCAUUUAAUUUAAAAUAAAUUAAUCUUUGUUAAAGAGUAUAGAUGCCAGUAGAUUUAAAAUGAAAAAUAGUAAUUGGCUUCCUUCUUUGUUUCUUUCAGUUAUGCUACCCAGGGUAAAUCACUUUUAGCUCCUGCAGCUUUUUCUCCUGUUUUAUAUUGUUUCAUAAUGUGCUCAUACUGCUGUCUCCUGAUCAAUUUUAGUCAUUUUAUUGUCUUCCUCUUAAGACAUAUAUGUAAUUACUUCUCUUAAACCUGCCUCCCCUCCUUCAUUUUCCCCAAAUACAAUAUUUUUACUUUAUAGGGGCAAUAAAGGUAUACCAGUCAUUAUAAUGGCUUAGAUAUCACUCACUACAAAGUUAAGUAGAAUUCGAUUUUCUUUCUUGUACAAUUUUGUUUUCCCCAGAGUGAAUAAUUACUUCAGUUUUAGCUUGCCAAGGACAUUCUCCUGCACAUGGUCUCAUUGGAAGACUACUUUUCCCCUGGUGCAGACCUCUCUGGAGCCUUUUGUCUUUUUGCUUCCACAUGGCCACUGCACAGUCAUGAUCCUGAUGCUGUAUUUCUUCACUGGGCUAAAAGUGUGAUUUAUCUGGAUUGCAUGAGCUCUUUGUUUUUGACUUGUUCCUUGGUUUUUCUGGAGCUACUCUGCCCUUGAUCCCUUGGCUUCUUAGGAAAUAGAAAGGGAGUCGAAUGUGUUGAGUUCUUUCAUGUCCAAACAUAUCUCUAUUCUGCUUUUAUGCUAGAUACUAGUUUGGCUGGAUACUGUAGUUGAUAAUAUAUCCACAGACUUCUGAAGGCAUUGCUCCUCUAUCUUCUAGCAUCUAGAAUUAUAAUUCUGAUUUUUUUUUGUCCUGAGUUUGAUCCCCGAUACCAAAAAUGUUUUUUUUUUAAUUUAAAGAGAUUUGACAUCCAUAUUAUAUUGACCCUUCCUAUCUACAAGCAGGGUUAUAGCUUUCUAUUAUUUGAAAGUUUCUUUUUAAAAAAUGUAUUCCAACAGUCUAUAGAAGAAAAUGGAGAUUUCUUAUUUAUUCUUAGUUGCUUUUCCUUUUUUG
ensembl:lncRNA